rnacentral:rRNA from 1 species
UACAGAGGGUGCGAGCGUUAAUCGGAAUUACUGGGCGUAAAGCGCGCGUAGGCGGCUUUGCAAGCCGGAUGUGAAAUCCCCGGGCUUAACCUGGGAACUGCAUUCGGGACUGCAUUGCUAGAGUAUGGGAGAGGGAAGUGGAAUUUCAGGUGUAGCGGUGAAAUGCGUAGAUAUCUGAAGGAACAUCAGUGGCGAAAGCGACUUCCUGGACCAAUACUGACGAUCAGGUGCGAAAGCGUGGGGAGCAAACAGG